UGAAUCAGCGGGUUUACGAGUGGGCAUGACGGUAUCUUCUGGGUAUACAAGCGUGCCGUGGUCUAACCCAAGACUAACCCCCACUUUUCUCCUUUUUCGGGGGUUACACACAGUUUUGUGUUCCCAUAGUUGGUUUGUUCGCCCUUCUUCCAAUAAAAAAAAAACCUAAGUCUGGGAAGGGUAUUCUCGUAAACUCCUUUCUUUUGGAAGUCCUGUGAAGAAUUGGCGUUUUCCAUUUGAUUU
rnacentral:telomerase_RNA from 1 species